rnacentral:rRNA from 1 species
UACGGAGGGGGCUAGCGUUGUUCGGAAUUACUGGGCGUAAAGCGCACGUAGGCGGCGAUCUAAGUCAGAGGUGAAAGCCCGGGGCUCAACCCCGGAAUAGCCUUUGAGACUGGAUUGCUAGAAUCCGGGAGAGGUGAGUGGAAUUCCGAGUGUAGAGGUGAAAUUCGUAGAUAUUCGGAAGAACACCAGUGGCGAAGGCGGCUCACUGGACCGGCAUUGACGCUGAGGUGCGAAAGCGUGGGGAGCAAACAGGAUUAGAAA